UCAAUAACCGAGGUACCGAUCCCACUGUCAGGCGUCAAGCGAUCUGGUAUUUUUAAGUUUUUUUUUUUUUUUUAAUAUGUAGGCUAUAUGGCCAUCAAGGCGCAGUCACUCCACUUAUAAUAGAGUAGAGCUCAUAUUGGUGUAUAAUAAGUCCGCGCUCUCUAUGUCACCUCAAGACAAACCUGGAGCAGGAAAUCAGAGGGGAAUUACUAAUCUCACAACAGGACAUAAUGUGCAGAAUCAAGCACCGGCCUUCAGAUGAAAAGGACCAUGUUCGCCACUGUCCCCAGCAGAACAGAAAGGAGGUAUUGGACACAUUCUGCAGAAAGUGUUAUACAAUAUUACAGAUUGUAUUAAAAAGCAUUAUACUACAUGAACCUGAAAUGUCAAGAUAAACAUAAGCUUUUUACAUUUUAGCUCACAGUUGAAGGCUGGAUUUGCCCAGAGUUCUCACCACUGCCAUGAUGUCUAUCAGAUGCUUAUAACUAUAACUAUAUACCUGCCUGUGAUUGGCUCAUCUGUGUCUCAUCACCAGCAGGAAACGACUUCACUUCCUUUAAUAAUGACUUCAUACAGAAUUAUGUGCCGCCACAGUGUCUCCUUGUUUUAUAGCGUUCUUCUAGUGUAAAUGGUCCGGUUUAUUCCAAUGUCACCAGCACGUGUGCGUGCACACACACACACACACACACACACAUGCGGAGACAAACUACUGAGUUCAAAACACUAGGCCUAUGUCCCAAAAGUUCACUGAUAUUCAGUGAUGUAUCAAAAACUAGUAUAAAUAUCAUUUAAAUGUUAUGAAAUAAUAAAUUUUUCCCUAAAACAUAUUUAUGAUUCAGGAAUGCAUAGCUAUUAAUGGAGGCACAAAUUAAAUCUCAAUUUUCAGAUUUGACAUCAUAUGUUUCCUUCAGAGAGUGUCACCUCUUGAUAUUCCUCCUGAUAUGCAAUCAAUUCAUGCUGUUCUCUGUGUCAUGCAUUGAAAAGAAGAAGCCUUUUUGUUUUGCUUUAAAAAAAUAACUGAAAAUGGCCUAAUAAUAUAAUAUUUCAUACUUUUUAUAAGUUCUUAUUUUUUUAAAUUAUGAAAUACAUUUACUCCCAAAUAGUCAACCCAUGCUUUUGUUCACUAUAUGUGUACAGUACUGUGCAAAAGUCUUAGGCACCCCCUUUUUUUCAUACAAACUUUAUAUAUUUCUAUUUUAUGAAUUCUACAUUAUCAAGUCAGUAUAAAAACAUUUUAGAGUUCCAAAGAUUCGUUUUCCAGCACAAAAUUAAAUGUUACAGGGGGGAAAAGUGUGUAUCUGAGCAGCAUAUUACAUAAGACACCACUUUUCAGAUAAAAAAAAGAAAACAUAAUGAAGGUUACUGGGUUUUGCUGCAAAAUUAAGAAGCGAGUGUGACAGUCAAAGUGUCCAGAAGAACUGUGGCUGGUUCUGUAAGAUGCUCAGUAAAACUGACAGCUCAUUUCCUUAUAAAAUUACACUCAUUGUACCUGAGACUGCUUUUUUUUUAAAGCAAAGGGUUUUCUCACACCAAAUAUUGACUUUGUUUCAUUUAUUAUGGCUUACUGCUGUUUAUAGUAUUUUGUUAAUGUUGAAACAUUUAAUUUCAUUAUUUUUAAGCCAUUUUUAGUCUACAGCAUUUUUUUACAUGUGCCUAAGACUUUUGCAGAGUAUUGUAUAUCCAGCAUACAUAUGCUCUGUAGUUGAGAAGUGAAUAAACAUCUUUGCUAUUUGUGUUUACAAUUAAGCAGCUUGGUUUUCUGGCUGGUAGCAAUGUCAAACGAAGGAAGUUGUUUCCGUAUGACUCCUCAUGCCACUCCUCAGAGUCUCUCUGUCUGCAUCAUCCACCGCAACAUAAAUCAGGUGAUUCAUGACUGCUAGAUGAUCAGUCACCAAUGAAAAGUCUUCUCUUCCAUGUAGCGUGCAUGUGCGUAUUUGUGAGUCUGUGUGCUUCAAGUUGCAUGACGGGCAAUAAAUCUCUUCCUUUAGCCUUUGGAGUGCAUGAGUGUGUCUCAAAGCCGGAGUGGCUCGAGGCGCUCUGGCUUGAACAAUGCUGAGAUCAAAGUGUUGAACUUUGACAGCCAAUGAGUGGCUUCCUAUGGCCGAAGCAGCAGAAUGAAGCUCACACCUGUACCAGGUGAUUACAGGUAGAUCUGCUUGCCUCUAAUUGGACAAUAAAUGCAGCUCUCGGCUCACUAAUGGAGGCAGUCAGCCUCAGAGACGCCAUGCUGCCAUUUGGCCGUCGCCAGCCCUACCUGAGUCUCUCUCUCUCACAGUAGAAGUGAUGACAUAACGAAUGACCAAGCAGCGCAAACAACAAGAUAAAUUACAGUCCAAGUCUUUAAUGUGAACAAGGUUGACAGAUAUGGAGAGAGCCAUGCGUGCCUUAAGCUGUGCAUUUGGAAUUUAAUGGCAGCAUUUUUUGUCAGGUCUAAAACUGUAUAUAUGUAGCUUUGUGUAUAUAACUCAGAUUUGUGACUGAGAAAAAAACAAACAAAAACCUUUAUAGUUUUUUUCUCUGUGUGUUGAGCAUAGACUGCUGUAGACAUUCUUUAACACCACUACCAGUGUGAUUAUUACACGUCUCCUGCACUGUGCACAAAGUUGGCUGUGAAAUCGUGUAUCUUCUAGUAUCUAAUCCAACUCAAAGAAGACUGAAGACCUUACUCUUCUACAGUGUCAUUAAAGUUUGGACACAUCUUCUAACAGUGGCGAACCAUUACUAUUAGAGCUGGGACUUCAGCUCAGCCAAACCUUAGCCAGACACACCAAAAAAGCAACAGGGCAAAGGAUUUUGCAAGGGAUUAGCAGCAGGCUGCCAGGUGGCUCUGUUGUGUGUAGUUGUCGAUGUUGAUUUUAAAACUAACUAAGUAAAUUACAUCAAGAAAUGAAUACUUAAGAUUGAGUGAAAAAUACUAUGGUGAGUUUGCGUGGAAGAAGAGUCUGAAGACAGAAAUCUUAGUUUCUCAGUCAUUAGCCUGUGCUACUUGCUCUCGAUAACACUGGCUUGACCGCUUUAUUAGCAUUCGCUAACACUACCGAUGAACGCUACACCAGCUGGAAGGUGACUUCACUGAUGAGCUGACGGUGCUGACUCGCAGUUAAGCUCACGUUGGCCUUCAAGAAGGCUGAGGGCAAUAAAUUUCUGGUCCUUCCCACUAUAAAUCAAAAUCUGAUUGGUGAAUUCAUCUGCCACUUCCUACAUAAACAUACACUGGUGGCCUUCUGUCCUGGCAAUGAAGUCCUAACCAAUGAGUGAGCCAGCUCUAAACUCUUCUUGGUCUAGAGACAACAAAUAAAAAAAUCUCAUUGGAUAACUCAAUUUUAAUGUUUUCAGGACAGUAACCCUUUCAUUUCUGAAGCAAAUCUGAUGGAAAAUGAGACCAAAUUAGAAUUAGAAGGCAAUAAUUAUAAUGAGAUUAUGAAAGAAUGAAAGCAAUUGAAAAAUGAAAGAAAUUAAAUAUAACAUUUGAAAUGCUGAUAUGUUUGGGCCUUCUCUGAAGGAAUAGAAGGCCCUGACGGUUCCCCCCUGCCUUCUAAUUCAGUGUUUUUUCCUUAUUUUUAUUAAUUAAAAGACACUUCAUCAUUUUAAAGUGAUGAUAGUGUUGUUUCUCUUUACUUAGUUGAGUGCUUCUUGAUAUAAUAUGGAUUACUACAGUUGUAGAAUACGGCUAUUGACUGUAUUUUUAUUAUUUACUAUUUACUGUUUGAUCUCAAAUGCAUUAAGAAGGCAAGAAAUUGCGCUAAUUAACUUUUGAUGAAACACCUGCUAAUUGAAAAGCAUUCCAGGUGACUACCUCAUGAAGCUGGUUAAGAAAAUGCCAAUAGUGUGCAAAGCGUCAUCAAGGUAAACACUGGCUGAAGAAUCUAAAAUAUGAAACAUGUUUUUUUUUAACACUUUUUUGUUUAGCACAUAAUUCUAUACAUGUUCCAUAUGUAAUUUCAUAGUUUUGAUGUCUUCAGUAUUGUUCUAGAAUGUAGAAAAUAGUCAAAUACAGAAAAACCUAUGAAUGAGUAGGUGUGUCCAAAUUUUGACUAGUACUGUAUGUGACCUGGAUGCCUCAGAGAAUCCUGCAUCGAGUAGCAAAAUGAUAGAGAAAGCAUUUCCCUCCCUCAGACGCUCAGACGCUUGCCUGAUUGCUUGCUUAAGGGCUUGUAGAGCCAUGAAUCUGAGUUGACUGGAGCUGAAUCUGAAGAGAUUGGUUUUGGAAGAACUGUGAUUUUUCUCAAUUUUGUCACUUUAUUCUUUUUUUAUUAUUGUUAUUUGUGUAGAGAAUAGUGAAUAAUUGACAUGGAAAAUCUUGUCGUAAAAUAAAUCUGUUA